rnacentral:tRNA from 1 species
UCCCUGAUGGCUCAGAAGGUAGAGCAUCUGUCUGCAAUGCAGGAGAUCCGGGUUUGAUCCUUGGGUGGGGAA